rnacentral:rRNA from 1 species
UACGUAGGGUGCGAGCGUUGUCCGGAAUUAUUGGGCGUAAAGGGCUCGUAGGCGGUUUGUCGCGUCGGGAGUGAAAACCCAGGGCUUAACUCUGGGCUUGCUUUCGAUACGGGCAGACUAGAGGCAUGCAGGGGAGAACGGAAUUCCUGGUGUAGCGGUGAAAUGCGCAGAUAUCAGGAGGAACACCGGUGGCGAAGGCGGUUCUCUGGGCAUGUCCUGACGCUGAGGAGCGAAAGCGUGGGGAGCGAACAGG